AUCUACAUAGUUCAAACCAGUCAACUUAUCAGCGUCAAGGAUACCAUGUAAUAAGACUGAAGAUGCCACGAUGUAGAUAUUUAAUCUACAUAAAUUAAAAAUAAUAAUAUAAGCAGACACUCAUGAUGACAUGCAUAACUAGAUGAGAUCUUCUAUUUAGUUACAUCUUUUACUAUUUUAUCGAAUACCAUAGCCUUCACCUCUGGUAAGCGAGAAAUUCUAAUCUAAUUUCUUAAUGGGUUG
rnacentral:lncRNA from 1 species